UGCAAAUCCGUGCCUUUUGUCGGUCCCCUGAGCCUGAGCCCCGGGAUCUUUUCGGUUCCUGGCGCCACCCCUGAGCACACGGAGAGGGGCACGCGCGGGCGCCCACCCUCGCAGAGCGCGCGUAAAUGCAUAAAUAAGGCAGAAAAAAUGCAAAAGAAAAAACACAGCAAAAACAAACAACAACAAAGCACCCAAGGUGCCACAUCCCCCUCUUCUCCGGCAGUCCGCGUGCCCGCAGCCAUGCGCUUUCUGAUGACGAGCAACAUGCGGCCAGCACGCGGAGUCUCCAAAACCUUCUCUUGCAGAAGAUCAGGGCUAGUGCUUCAAUAGCAGUACGUAGCAUUACCCACAAAAAGCAGAAAACAGACAAACUGCAGCGCGUGCAUCUGGAAAGACCAUCUGCAUUGGAGGGGCUUUACCAGAGGAACAGCCUGCAGGGCACGAAGGCUCAACAGGUAGUGCAGUGAACUUUCCAAUGUCCAAAAGCCGGGCUAGUUUCUGAAGCCGUGCCAGCACCGUCUGGCCAUCAGCUUGUUAGGAAGCGCACCAGAGAGGAUGGCCAUGGAGCUGCAAAUCCCAAUGUCCUCGAAUCCAAAUGGCGCCGCUUUGCUUGAACCAGGACUGUGGGCCCUGAAACGCUGCUCGUCUUCCGCACGGCGCGAGCCACGUGCGGACAAGUCCGUCGCCAGCGAUCUUUCUCUUGGUGCCUGCUUUUUCCCUUAUUUCCUAAGAUGUGUAAUUGUUGUUGUUGUUGUUGUUGUUUGGACUGGAAGACUGGCCUACUGCAAAACAAAGGACCCAUGCGGGUUUAAAAGAGAGGCUCUGUCUUUCGAGAGUUAACGCAGCCUGUUGUGGGCCAGGGCAAGUGACUUUGCUUUGAGUCUGACCACUUUGUCUUCUUGGAAAUGAGUGUUUUCUGACCAACAUAGUAACAUCCUGCCGUUGUCCUUCCAAGGAACCCAA